UACGUAGGGUGCGAGCGUUAAUCGGAAUUACUGGGCGUAAAGCGUGCGCAGGCGGUCUGUUAAGACAGAUGUGAAAUCCCCGGGCUUAACCUGGGAACUGCAUUUGUGACUGGCAGGCUAGAGUAUGGCAGAGGGGGGGUAGAAUUCCACGUGUAGCAGUGAAAUGCGUAGAGAUGUGGAGGAAUACCGAUGGGCGAAGGCAGCCCCCUGGGCCAAUACUGACGCUCAUGCACGAAAGCGUGGGGAGCAAACGGG
rnacentral:rRNA from 1 species